CAAGAAUCAGAGUGGGCAACUAGCAGAGCUUAAUUUCCUGCCAGAAGAAGAAGACAUGCUUGCACUAUGGUUCCAGGUUCCAUGAAGUGAUAUGUUACAAGACAUAUCGAUCUGCAACAGAAUCUGAGCAUUUUUUUUCCAGUCAGUGCUCAUGAAAAGGAAGUACAAAGAGUAAAGAGAAUUAAGGAAGAGAGCCUACCCAGUGUGGAAGCCAAUAGCAUAAAGCACAGCCUGGGAAAGAAGAUGACACAGGAGAGAAAGAAAGACUUAAUCAUAAUGAAAUGAUGCAACUCAUGAAUCCAACCAUGGCUGAAGACAUAAUUUUUCUGGAGGUUUCAUUGAUGAGCCAGCACAAAGGAGGCUGCUUUUCAGCCUGAUUAUUGGAGAGGGUGCGAGGUCCCAAGCCAGUUCAUGUCUCAGGUGAGAAAAUGGAAUACCAGCUGUCACAGGACCAACUUGGAGUCAGAGAAUUGAAUACACAAAAAAAAAUAUAAGUGCUCCCACCAGAAAACCAACAGAACAAAUCCUAUUCUACUCUGAGCUUCACAGUCAAAUUCAAGAUAUGUUGAGAAAAGCGAUGCAGGAUAGACUGAACUGACAACUUCUGAUAAGACAGAGGUAAGGAUGGAGAAUUUUACCGGGCUAAAAAUAGAGAUCCGAAGAAGAAUGGCAGAGAACUCCUAUGGGAUUCUGAAGGCUCCAUCUCUAGAUGUGACCAUGUUCUGAUCAGUUCGACAUUGAAAGAAUCAUCCAGCUGGUUCAUGUGAGAGAAGUGGCUCUAAGAAAUAAAGUAAUUAUGGCAGAUCAGAGGUAGAGGAGAACUCAAGAAACCAUCCAGGAUGAUCCUGUCAUUUGAGUGAUGAAGAAACUGAGGUCCAGGCAACAGAAGGAACUUGGAAAAAAUGACAUUGGCAAUCAGUUC